UACGUAGGUGCGAGCGUUAAUCGGAAUUACUGGGUGUAAAGCGUGCGUAGACGGUUAUCUAAGUCGGGUGUGAAAGCCCCGGGCUCAACCUGGGAAUUGCAUUCGAGACUGAAUAGCUAGGGUGCGGAAGAGGGAAGCGGAAUUUCCGGUGUAGCGGUGAAAUGCGUAGAUAUCGGAAGGAACACCAGUGGCGAAAGCGGCUUCCUGGUCCAGCACCGACGUUCAGGCACGAAAGCGUGGGGAGCAAACAGG
rnacentral:rRNA from 1 species